GAAAGUGCCACAUCAUUGCCAUGUCAGCCAUUAGUGCCACAUCAUCAGUGUCAGAUCAACAAAAAAAUUACGCCACAUCAGUAGAAAGUGCCACAUCAUCACUGUUAGAUCAACAAAAAAAUUUGAUAGUCCUACCCGGCUAAUUUUGAAGUCCUGAUUCCAUUUUUUAUGUCUAUUUUUAGAAAAAAAACAACUCCAAAUGACUGACAUUUGCAUAGUUUCAGUAAGGUAUGAUUUUCUUAUUAGAAUUCAAUGUUGUGGGCUAAAAAUAAAAGUUCUAAGGAGCAAUUAGAUGAAUAUGGGAUACAAUUCAAAAAAUACAAGCUGAAAUUGAUGACUGUUAUGAACAACUUGAUGAAAUAUC
rnacentral:misc_RNA from 1 species